GGGGCAUCGUUUAGCAUAAUUUCUUUCUAAUGUUAUCUGGGAUUGAUUUGUAUAAACUCGGAAAACUGAUAAUCAUGUGGCCGGAUAAUGAAUGAACCAACUAGUAGUGGUGGCGAGAUGAGGAGGUUUUGCAAAUGCAAUAAGUGCAAAGAGCAAUACUUGAACAUGUCAUGUGCAUAUGUCGUUUUCAUUCAACCACUAAAGAAAAUUACAUGUGUAAAUAUGUAUAUCAACUGGGUCAUAUAUAUCAAACCUGUAUGGAUCAGAUUGGUUCAAACUUGAAACACUCACAGUCUACAUAUAUAUACAUCUCCUAAUUAAUUUAAUUGCAUACUAUUUAAAGAAUAGAGAUCGUUGUGCCAAGUCAACUAAAGAUGAC
rnacentral:misc_RNA from 1 species